CAACUCAAGCUUCUCUUCAUUACGUAUACAUAUUUCGCCAUUUACUAAAGAUUUCUGUGGAGGGGAGCUUUUGUGAGUUUUCUGUAUUUUGGUAUAAGUAUGGUAUAAGUAUGA